ensembl:lncRNA
AGAGAUCCAAGACCUGAAACACAAGGAGAGUGGAAAGAAAGCGUCGUGAAAUCUGGAGGGAACCUCCAGGUUUCCACGCUGGUUGUGACGGACUCUUAGAAGCGGUUGAGAUGGAUAUCAGAGUGCAGGAGCCCAGGAACAGAUCCAAGACCUGAAACACAAGGAGAGUGGAAAGAAAGCGUCGUGAAAUCUGGAGGGAACUUCCAGGUUUCCACCCCGGCUGUGACGCACACUUACAAGCGGGUGAGAUGGAUAUCAGAGUGCAGGAGCCCAGGAAGAGAUCCAAGACCUGAAACACAAGGAGAGUGGAAAGAAAGCGUUGUGCAAUAUGGAGGGAACUUCCAGGUUUCCACGCCGGCUGUGACGGACACUUAGAAGCGGGUGAGAUAGAUAUCACAGUGCUGGAGCCCAGGAAGAGACCCAAGACCUGAAACACAAGGAGAGUGGAAAGAAAGCGUUGUGCAAUAUGGAGGGAACUUCCAGGUUUCCACGCCGGCUGUGACGGGC